CGUAGGUAACCUGCCUGGUAGCGGGGGAUAACUAUUGGAAACGAUAGCUAAUACCGCAUAACAUUGACUAUUGCAUGAUAGUCAAUUGAAAGGUGCAAAUGCACCACUACCAGAUGGACCUGCGUUGUAUUAGCUAGUUGGUGGGGUAACGGCUCACCAAGGCGACGAUACAUAGCCGACCUGAGAGGGUGAUCGGCCACACUGGGACUGAGACACGGCCCAG
rnacentral:rRNA from 1 species